CAGCAGUCGCCGCGGGAAUACGGAGGAUCCAAGCGUUAUCCGGAAUCAUUGGGUUUAAAGGGUCCGUAGGCGGUCUUGUAAGUCAGUGGUGAAAGCCCAUCGCUCAACGGUGGAACGGCCAUUGAUACUGCAGGACUUGAAUUAUUGGGAAGUAACUAGAAUAUGUAGUGUAGCGGUGAAAUGCUUAGAGAUUACAUGGAAUACCAAUUGCGAAGGCAGGUUACUACCAAUUGAUUGACGCUGAUGGACGAAAGCGUGGGUAGCGAACAGGAUUAGAUACCCCCGUAGUCCCUGUCUCUUAUAA
rnacentral:rRNA from 1 species